AGUUAUGGAUAGACCACCACCAGAAAUCAGUCGCAGGAUUCUCUGAACCUUUGCUUGAGAGUCUCCAUUCAACUAGAAAACCAGAAAGAAGUAUGGCUACGUUAAAAUACACCUUGUAUGAGAAUGAGAUGCAGAAUAUACCAAAAAGGAGCCAUUGGGACUGAUGCAGAGACUAAGGCAAGA